rnacentral:rRNA from 1 species
CGGACGGGUGAGUAACGCGUGGAGAACCUGCCGUAUACUGGGGGAUAACACUUAGAAAUAGGUGCUAAUACCGCAUAAGCGCACAGUCUCGCAUGAGACGGUGUGAAAAACUCCGGUGGUAUACGAUGGAUCCGCGUCUGAUUAGCUUGUUGGCGGGGUAACAGCCCACCAAGGCGACGAUCAGUAGCCGGCCUGAGAGGGUGAACGGCCACAUUGGGACUGAGACACGGCCCAAACUCCUACGGAAGGCAGCAG